CCUACGGGAGGCAGCAGUAGGGAAUAUUGCGCAAUGGGGGAAACCCUGACGCAGCAACGCCGCGUGGAGGAUGAAGGUUUUCGGAUUGUAAACUCCUGUUGUUAGAGAAGAUAAUGACGGUAUCUAACGAGUAAGCACCGGCUAACUCCGUGCCAGCAGCCGCGGUAAUACGGAGGGUGCAAGCGUUACGCGGAAUCACUGGGCGUAAAGAGCGCGUAGGCGGGAUAGCAAGUCAGAGGUGAAAUCCUAUGGCUUAACCAUAGAACUGCAUUUGAAACUGUUAUUCUAGAGUAUGUGAGAGGUAGGUGGAAUGCUUGGUGUAGGGGUAAAAUCCGUAGAGAUCAAGAGGAAUACUCAUUGCGAAGGCGACCUGCUGGCACAUAACUGACGCUGAUGCGCGAAAGCGUGGGGAGCAAACAGGAUUAGAUACCCGAGUAGUC
rnacentral:rRNA from 1 species